GCUCGCCGGAGCUAGCUGAGGCGGCCAACGACGAAGGGAAAAUAACCCUAGUUGCUGUCCUCAUUUCCAGCAGCCACACAAAACCCUUAGAAGAUCCGAGCUCGAGUGGAGCACGGUGACCUGCCGAUACUCGGAGAUUUUUGCUGUAUAUAAGUUUUGCAGACACAGGGAUCCUUUUGAUAUUACUGUUGAUUUUGGACUUUCAUA